AACAGGAUUAGAUACCCGGGUAUUCCAUGCCGUAAACGAUGAGUGUUCGCCCUUGGUCUACGCGGAUCAGGGGCCCAGCUAACGCGUGAAACACUCCGCCUGGGGAGUACGGUCGCAAGACCGAAACUCAAAGGAAUUGACGGGGGCCUGCACAAGCGGAGGAACAUGCGGUUUAAUUCGAUGAUACGCGAGGAACCUUACCCGGGCUUGAAAUGCAGACGACCGACUAGGAAACUAGUCUUCCAGCAAUGGCGUCUGUGUAGGUGCUGCAUGGUUGUCGUCAGCUCGUGCCGUGAGGUGUCGGCUUAAGUGCCAUAACGAGCGCAACCCCUAUUGAUAGUUACUAACAGGUUAAGCUGAGGACUCUAUUGAGACUGCCACCGUAAGGUGUGAGGAAGGUGGGGAUGACGUCAAAUCAGCACGGCCCUUACGUCCGGGGCGACACACGUGUUACAAUGGGGGGUACAGAGGGUUGCUACUUGGUGACAAGAUGCUAACCUCUUAAAGCCUCUCUCAGUUCGGAUCGAAGUCUGCAACUCGACUUCGUGAAGCUGGA
rnacentral:rRNA from 1 species